GCUGGGCAUGGUGGCGCACGCCUGUAGUCCCAGCUAUUUGGGAGGCUGAGGCUGGAGGAUCUCUUGAGUGCAGGAGUUCUGGGCUGUAGUGUGCUAUGCUGAUUGGGUGUCUGCACUAAGUUCAGCAUCAAUAUGGUGACCUCCUGGGAGUGGGGGACCACCAGGUUACCUAAGCAGGGGUGAACCGGCCCAGGUCAGAAAAGGAGCAGGUCAAAACUGCCGUGCUGAUCAGUAGUGGGAUCAUGCCUGUGAAUAGCCACUGCACUCCAGCCUGGGCUACAUAGCGAGACCCCGUCUCU
rnacentral:SRP_RNA from 1 species